UACGUAGGCAGCGAGCGUUGUUCGGAGUUACUGGGCGUAAAGGGUGCGUAGGCGGUUGUUUAAGUUUGGUGUGAAAUCUCCCGGCUCAACUGGGAGGGUGCGCCGAAUACUGAAUGACUAGAGUGCGGGAGAGGAUAGUGGAAUUCCUGGUGUAGCGGUGAAAUGCGUAGAUAUCAGGAGGAACACCGGUGGUGUAGACGGCUAUCUGGACCGUAA
rnacentral:rRNA from 1 species